UGGCCGGUAGUUCAAUUGGUGGAACGCCAGAUUUUGAUUCUGGAGGUCGCAGGUUCGAUCCCUGCCCGGCCAA
rnacentral:tRNA from 1 species